rnacentral:rRNA from 1 species
CCUACGGGUGGCAGCAGUAGGGAAUUUUCGGCAAUGGGGGGAACCCUGACCGAGCAACGCCGCGUGAAGGAAGAAGGAAUUCGUUCUGUAAACUCCUGUUAUAAAGGAAGAAAGACGGAUGGAGGAUAUGACAUCCGAGUGACGGUACUUUAUGAGAAAGCCACGGCUAACUACGUGCCAGCAGCCGCGGGAAUACGUAGGUGGCAAGCGUUAUCCGGAUGUGUUGGGCGGAAAGGGGGGGCAGGGGGCAGCAAAGGUCUGUGGUGAAAGACUGAAGCUUAACUUCAGUAAGCCAUAGAAACCGGGCAGCUAGAGUGCAGGAGAGGAUCGUGGAAUUCCAUGUGUAGCGGUGAAAUGCGUAGAUAUAUGGAGGAACACCAGUGGCGAAGGCGACGAUCUGGCCUGCAACUGACGCUCAGUCCCGAAGGCGUGGGGAGCAAAUAGGAUUAGAUACCCGUGUAGUC